UACGUAGGGUGCAAGCGUUAAUCGGAAUUACUGGGCGUAAAGCGUGCGCAGGCGGUUCUAUAAGACAGAUGUGAAAUCCCCGGGCUCAACCUGGGAACUGCAUUUGUGACUGUAGAGCUGGAGUGCGGCAGAGGGGGGUAGAAUUCCACGUGUAGCAGUGAAAUGCGUAGAGAUGUGGAGGAAUACCGAUGGCGAAGGCAGCCCCCUGGGAUAACACUGACGCUCAUGCACGAAAGCGUGGGGAGCAAACAGG
rnacentral:rRNA from 1 species